AGGGCCUCAUUUUCUUCUGUCACUGGAGCCAUCAUUUAUUUAGCAGCUUUGUUAAACAGAAAGGGGUCUGUCCUGCGUGUGCAGUCUUUGGAUUUAAAAUUAUGGAAAUUCUUCAGGCAGAAAAUGGGCACAUAUGGUUAUCACAGAAAAGCUGUUUUAAAGCCAGUUUUAAGGUAUUAUUAUGCCGCUACCUUCAAGAAGUAAUUUGCGUGCUGUUUAUUGGAGCUGUGAAUUUAAUCAUCUCAAUCCCACGCUAUUACAGGAUGACUAUAAGAAGAUGUAUUGACAUUUCUUUGGACACAUAAUUUUGCCUCCAUUGUGUGUUGUUUUGCCAGAAUACUGAAGGCAGUGUUUGUAUGAUGGCACAUCCAAAUAAAAAGCAGGUCCUCCUUUUGGGACAGUGAUCCAUUUAA
ensembl:lncRNA novel transcript